rnacentral:rRNA from 1 species
AGAGUUUGAUCAUGGCUCAGAAUCAACGCUGGCGGCGUGCCUAACACAUGCAAGUCGAGCGAGAGGAAGUAGCAAUGCUUUAGUAAAGCGGCGCACGGGUGAGUAACACGUGGAUAACCUGCCUCGAAGUGGGGAAUAACCCCGGGAAACCGGAGCUAAUACCGCAUAAUCUGACGAGAUCUGUGGAUUUUGUCAGCAAAGGAGCAAUUCGCUUUGAGAGGGGUCCGCGGCUGAUUAGCUAGUUGGUGAGGUAAUGGCUCACCAAGGCCACGAUCAGUAGCCGGUCUGAGAGGACGGUCGGCCACACUGGAACUGAGACACGGUCCAGACUCCUACGGGAGGCAGCAGUGGGGAAUUUUUCGCAAUGGGGGCAACCCUGACGAAGCAACGCCGCGUGGGUGAUGAAGUAUUUCGGUACGUAAAACCCUUUCGACGGGGACGAAACCGCAAGGUUGACGGUACCCGUAGAAGAAGCCCCGGCUAACUCCGUGCCAGCAGCCGCGGUAAUACGGGGGGGGCAAGCGUUGUUCGGAAUUACUGGGCGUAAAGGGCGCGUAGGCGGUUUGCUAAGUUGGAUGUGAAAACUCUGGGCUUAACCCAGAGCCUGCAUCCAAAACUGGCAAACUUGAGUACUGGAGGGGAAAGCGGAAUUCCUGGUGUAGCGGUGAAAUGCGUAGAUAUCAGGAGGAACACCGGUGGCGAAGGCGGCUUUCUGGACAGUAACUGACGCUGAGGCGCGAAAGCUAGGGGAGCAAACAGGAUUAGAUACCCUAGUAGUCC